rnacentral:rRNA from 1 species
UCUGGUUGAUCCUGCCAGUAGUCAUAUGCUUGUCUCAAAGAUUAAGCCAUGCAUGUGUAAGUAUAAGUAUUGUACAGCGAAACUGCGAAUGGCUCAUUACAUCAGUUAUAAUUUAUUUGAUAAUCGAAAGUUACAUGGAUAACCGUGACAAAUUACAGCUAAUACAUGCAUUAAGACCUGGUCCAAGGGUCGUAAUUAUUAGUACCAAACCAAUUCCGCAAGGAAUGUGAUGAAUCAUAGUAAUCGAACGAAUCGCAGGUAUAUGCGAUAAGUCAUUCAAGUUUCUGCCCUAUCAGCUUUGGAUGGUAGUGUAUUGGACUACCAUGGCAGUCACGGGUAACGGAGAAUUAGGGUUCGAUUCCGGAGAGGGAGCCUGAGAAACGGCUACCACAUCUACGGAUGGCAGCAGGCGCGAAAAUUGCCCAAUCCCGAUUCGGGGAGGCAGUGACAAGAAAUAACAACCCAGAACAUUGUUUCCGGGAUUGCAAUGAGAACAAUUUAAAAACCUUAUCGAGUACCAACUGGAGGGCAAGUUCUGGUGCCAGCAGCCGCGGUAAUUCCAGCUCCAGUAGCGUAUAUUAAAGUUGCUGCAGUUAAAAAGCUCGUAGUUGAAUUUCUGUUUGUAAGAGUCGAAGCUUUACAGCUAAGAUUUCUUCGAACAUCUGUUUGCAAGCAUACGUUCGGCCUUCACUGGUUGGCUAUGUAAGCAAGCGCUUUACCUUGAGAAAAUUAGAGUGUUCCAGGCAGGCUUCAGCCGGAAUACAUUAGCAUGGAAUAAUGGAAUAGGACUGGGGACUAUUUAUUGGUUUGAGGCUCCAGUAAUGAUUAAUAGGAACAGUCGGGGGCAUUGGUACUUAACAGUCAGAGGUGAAAUUCUUGGAUUUGUUAAAGACUAACUAAUGCGAAAGCAUUUGCCAAGCAUGUUUUCAUUAAUCAAGAACGAAAGUUAGGGGAUCAAAGACGAUUAGAUACCGUCCUAGUCUUAACUGUAAACGAUUCCAUCUUAGAAUUGGGUGAAUAUUUGAUGAUUCAUCCAGCGCUAUAAGAGAAAUCAAAGUCUUUGGGUUCUUGGUGGAGUACGAUCGCAAGAUUGAAACUUAAAGGAAUUGACGGUUUUGCACACCAUGGAGUGGAGCCUGUGGCUUAAUUUGACUCAACACUGGGAAACUCAUCAGGACAACAAAGUUUUAGGAUUGACAGAUUGA